rnacentral:rRNA from 1 species
ACGUUGAUAGGUUGGGUGUGGAAGCACGGUGACGUGUGAAGCUGACCAAUACUAAUUGCUCGUGAGGCUUGACUAUACAACACCCAAACAGUUG